rnacentral:lncRNA from 1 species
AACAAUUAAAAAUAUGUACAAAAACAUUUAAUUCAUGAAAAAUAUCAAAAUUAAUCCAAAAAAUAAUUUUAAUUUAGAAAAUGAAAAAGGAAAAUAUUUAAAGAUUUUGGUGAAAGUCCCAUAUUUUUUGGAUUAAAAAUGAAAUUAAUAUGAAUUAAAAUAAAUAAAUGGAUUAAACAGAAAAUAAAAAAAUAAAAAUAAAUUCAAAAAAAA